UUCAAAAUCUUGCUUCCACGGUUCUUAUAUAACAAAAAAUGGCUGUCUCUUCGGGGACAUCUUAUAUACCAAAUAAUUGGUUCUCUCUCACACAGGCACAUCAACAUCCAUACAUUGUUUAGCUUACCAUGUUUUCAUUUCCUUGCGUUCUUGUGUUUCAAAUCAUUUUUUACUUAUAUUAGUGCUUCACGCCCAAAUUUUGGCCUUUUCUGUCUUCUCAGGAGUUUCUUCAAGAUGUUGACUGUAGGCCUUGGAACAGUCUUUCAAAAAGAAGGGUUCAACCCUAUGGUUAUGAUGAGUUUCAAGGAUUAUUUGGGUUUUUUUCAUUAUCGGUUGCGCCUAAGUUAGUGGAGAUCCAACCUUUUUCCAAUUUUCACCAAAUUAGGAAUGUUAAUACCAGACAUUGCUUAGGUGAACUUCCAUCAUUUGUUGCUCCAAAACUUGAUAGAAUCUCAUCAUGUCCAACUUUCAAGAAUGUUAAAAAUACAGUUUUGGACCAACUUACGAUAGACAAACUGAAUGGCAAAGUGAUACGAAUGCAGAUUAAAGGAAACUAAGCUAGGAAGAAUAAAUUUAUAACGUGGAGUGAUGGAAUUAUCACGUGGGGAAUUAAAGCUGAGAGGGAGCUUCUAGAAUGGCGCCAAUGCUUCACUUGAAAUCUUCCAAGUAAGUGGGUUUGCGGGUCACCCUCUUGGGCCUGCUAGUGUCGCCAUUGAUGUUGUUAUUUGGUUCUCUGUUCUGCGUAUUACUAUCAACACCCACGCCUCCGAAAACAACCUCGUCCUCGAGGUUGUACGAUUGCUGCAAGUCGCUCCAAAGUUCCUAGGAUGUAUCCUCGGGAGGAAGACCCAUCCAUUGAACGAGGACCAUGCGUUGAGGAGGUGUGACUGACAAAUCCCAUUUCCAGUCCAGGAUUGUCAAAGGUUUGACCACGGGGUGGUGAUCAACUGCUAAGGAAGGGAGGGGAUUAUCAUUGGAAGGCGGAGGUCCAUGAUGUGCCUUCAAGAGGGAGACAUGGAAGACGUUGUGGAUACGGGAAUCAGUGGGUAAGGCGAGCUUGUAUGCCACGGGCCCUAUACGUUCAGUCACCUGGUAAGGCCCAAAGAACCUUUUGGCCAACUUUGAAUAAGUUGGGGUCAUGGAUUUCUGGCGGUAUGGACGGAGGCGGAGGAAGACCCAAUCGCCGACGACGUAAUGUACGUCAUGGCGGUGCUUAUCAUCAUUGACCUUCAUCACAAAUUGGGCCUUGAGGAGGCGACGUUGAAGCACGACAUGGAGUUCAGUGCGAUCCGUGAGGAAUGAAUCAACCGCGUCGAUGGGAGAGGAACCCAUAACAUAGUCGACAAUGUUAGGUGGUGGACGGCCGUAUAUGAUUUCAAACGGAGUGAAACCGGUGCUGGAAUGUACGGUGGUGUUGUACGACCAUUCGGCGAGGGAUAAAUACCGGAACCACUGGUUGGGUUUGUGAUGGACAUAAGCUCGGAGAUAUUGUUCCAGUGUGCAGUUGACGACUUCCGUCUGUCCGUCGGACUGAGGGUGGUAUGCUGUGCUCAUACGCAGCUGAGUACCAUUGAGUCUGAAGAGUUCCCUCCAAAAAUGGCUGAGGAAGAGUGCAUCCAUGUCGGACACCAAGCUCCGAGGAAAUCCAUGGUGUUUGCACACCAUGUCCAUGAAACGAACCGCGACCUGAUGAGCUGUGUGCUGUGCCGGAAAAGCGCCGAAAUGGGCUCCCUUGGAGUAACGGUCGACGACGACCAAUAUGACAGUGUGGCUGUGAGAAGGAGGGAGACCGGUGAUGAAGUCUAGCGACAGAUCCUCCCAAAUUCUCGCCGAAAUUGGGAGAGGUUGUAAGAGGCCUGAAGGUUUCUUUGUCUCAUAUUUAGUUUGCUGACAAAUGAGGCAGUGCGAGAUAAAAUGACGGACGUCAGCCCUGAUGUUUGGCCAGUCGAAGCUCUGCUGAAGGCGAUGAAGGGUUUUGGCAACGCCGGAGUGAUCGCCGAGGGGAGAUGUGUGGAACUCUUCGAGCAAGGAGGAUGUAAAAGGGGUGGGGAAAGGUAGCCAUAUGCGGUGGUCUUUGAAGAUGAGACCACGGUGGACUGAAAGAGAUGGGUGAUCUGCCGGUCUGGUUUGAAUGGCGGUAAGUAAGUCGCAGUAUUGAUUAUCGGCGGUCAGAGAACGUCGGAAAGUGUCCAAGAAGUCAAAAUGAGGCACGGUGAAGGAUAAGAACUCCCCUGAGGGAAGGCGGGAUAACGCGUCCGCGACAACGUUGGAAACGCCUGGUUUGUAACGUAUCUCGUAGUCGUAUCCCAAGAGCUUCACCAGAUAAGUCUGCUGCUUCGGUGUCUGAAUAACCUGGGACAUGAGGUCCUUAAGGCUCUUGUGAUCAGUAAGUAUCGUGAAGGAGGUGCCCAGGAGAUAGUGUCGCCAUUUACGAACUGCGGAUGUGAUUGCAUGAAGCUCCCUGACGUAUGCUGAAGCUCGCCGGAGACGGGGACACAAGACCUUACUGUAAUAGGCGAUAUGAUGCUGCUGCUGAAUGAGCACCGCCCUGAUAGCAACUGCGGAGGCAUCGGUUUCCAAUACAAAGGGAAUAUUGAAGUCUGGGGUGGACAAAACAGGGGCACGGGUCAUCUGAGUUUUCAGGUGAUCGAAGGCGGAGGUAGCCUCGGGGGACCAAAUGAAUUGGUCUUUUCGGAGCAAAGCGGUGAUUGGAGCUGCGAUGGAUGCGUAUCCUUUGAUGAAUUUCCUGUAGAAGCCUGUCAGGCCAAGGAAACCGCGAAGGUUGGUAGUGGAAGUUGGAAUGGGCCAGUCAACCAUGGCCUGGAUCUUCUCGGGGUCAGGGGCAAUGCCUUCUGCGGAUAUGAUAUGGCCCAGAUAGUUAAGUCGUGACUGAGCGAAGACACACUUAGAUUCGCGCAAGUAAAACUGAUGAGUGAGUAAGGUAGAGAGGACCGACUCCAGGUGAGUGAUGUGAGAAAGGAGGUCCUGACUGUAAACCAUGAUGUCGUCGAAGAAGACGACAACAAAUUUGCCCAGGUAAGGUUUGAGUGUGUCGUUCAUGGCGGAUUGGAAGGUAGAGGGGGCGUUACAGAGACCAAAUGGCAUAACACGAAAUUCGUAGUGGCCCUGGUGCGUGCGAAAUGCAGUUUUGGAAAGGUCGAAAUCCGCCAUACGAAUUUGAUGAAAACCUUGCCGUAAGUCAAGUUUAGAGAACUGUGGCUUUCCCGAGAUCAUCGAGUAACUCAUCGACGGUUGGCAUGGGGAAUUUGUCUUUGACGGUGAUAGUGUUGAGUGCCCGAUAAUCAACACAACAACGCCAUGACCCAUCUUUCUUCUUAACAAGCAAAAUCGGGGAAGAAAAAGGACUUUGCCUGGGUUGAAUGAGACCGGAGGUAAGCAUGGUGGAAAUUUGGGACUCAAUUUCAGCUUUCUGGUAAUGGGGGUAUCGAUAGGGGCGCACAUUAACUGGUGGGGAAUUAGGAAGAAGGUGGAUGUGGUGUUGAAUGGUGCGGGGUGGGGGAAGUUGGGUUGGUUCGGAGAAAAUGGCGAAAUAACGGUGAAGUAAGGUGGUGAUGGAGGGUGGUAUGGUAGUGGCAGGUUGGGUUAAGGGUGAGUUUGGUGGAUGGGUUGGGAACGGGGUAAUGUGGAAAAGGGCCGAGAUACUGUGAGUGGUAGCAAGUCAUUUAAGUUGGUGGGCCGAAGCGGGUGAAGGUGUGGGCGGUACAUCAACAAUAAGGGUUAUUGGACGGCCCAUAUAAAGAAAGGACAUGGGAAGGGAGGCGAAGUCCGUGGUGACCGGGCCGAGGAGCUUAAGUCAUUGCACUCCAAGGACUAUGUCGACACCACACAGGGGAAGGUGGAAGAGGUCGAGAGUGAAAGGAUGGGUUUGUAUGGUGAGGGAAACCUGGGGGGAAAGGGUGUCACAGUCAAGGGUAUGCCCAUUACCCACCAUUACGCGUAAUGGGGUGGUAGGGGAAGUGGAAAGGUUGAGGAAUCGGGCUAUGCGGGUUUGGAUAAAAUUAUGGGAACUACCGCCAUCGACGAGGAUUACGACGCGGUAGGGUCCGAUGUGACCAUAAAGGCGGAAGGUCUGAGGGGUGGGUGAGCCUUCCAUAGCGUUAAGGCUAAUUUGGGAAAUUAGGGUUGGGUUAGGGUCAGGGUCGAGGGGAGUAUCGGGAGAAAGGAUGUCUUCGUCCGCGAGGAGUAGAUGCAGACGGGAUUUGCAGCGAUGGCCGGGGGACCAUUUGUCAUCACAAUGGUAGCAUAACCCCUGGUCUCGGCGCAAGGCUAGCUCUUCUGCCGACAAGCGUUUAACGGGGAGUUUCGAUGAAGGGAGGCGAAGAGAG